rnacentral:lncRNA from 10 species
ACAUUUCGAACUUGGUUUUAUUUUUGGUGUCAGUGAAGGUGGGCAGUCAAAGUAACUUCAUGCCAAGCGCUUCCUGUGUGCCAGGCCCUCCCUCGGCACAAGGACACAGCAGUAAACACUGGGUGUCGAGGGCUAAGUCUGGCGUGGCUGCUCUGUGGAAUUGGCCUAUGGAACUCUGAGAUGUUCUAAGGUCCAGGCCCUGCCUCAUAGAUGCCCUUCAUUGGUCUGGAGUAGCCAUUUUCCAACUUUGGCAAGCUUGUGAACCACCGGCGGCAUCUUUCUCAAAAUCACAGGCAGAUUCAGCAGGUCUAGGGUGGGGCCUGAGGUUCUGCAUCUCGGAGCAACUCCCUGGUGCUGCUGGUCCACGGGAGUUACAGUGGAAUUGGAGGUGUUGAUAUUUAUCAGGCUACCUCGACAGUGAUGGUCUUGAAAUAAAUCCAUAGGUUCUUUGAUACUCCUCCCUUUAAGAGGUAAAGCUGACUCCCCCCACUGCCACCCCUUGGAGUGUGAGAUGGACUUCAUGCUCACUUCUGAAGAGUAGAAUAUGGUGGAAGUGACGGUGUGUCUCUUCUGAGACUUAAGUCCUAAAAGGCACUGAGGCUUCUAUCUUGCUCUCUCUUGGAUCACUUGCUCUGGGGGAACCAGAUGACAUCUUGCAAGAGUGCUCAAGUUGCCUACGGAGAGGCAAGGAAUGAAGGCUUGGAACGUGCCCAUGGCAGGACCUAAGGCCUGCUGCCAACAUCCAGUGAGGAGCUGAGGCCUUCAGCCAACAGCCACACAGUGGGUCCCCUGGGAAGCAGAUCCUCCAUGUGGUCAAGUCUUCAAUGGCCACAGCCCUGGCUGCCAUCUUGACUGCAAUGUCAGGGGAGACUCUGAGCCAGCUCCAUCAAACUGAGCCACUUUUGAUUUCCUGACCCACAGAUCCUGAUCCUCGCCUUGGGAUCAAUUCUUGAGUGUGGAAUCGCUGCUUCAAAGGUUGUGCACAGGUGGCUGUCUUCACAACGAUUCUAAGGGUGGGUUCUGGAGCCAAGGGCUUGGGGGUGAGUCUGGGCCCUGCCCCUCUGUUUUUACAACUGUUUUCAUCUGGGGCACAUUCCUUAACCUCCUGGUGCCUCAGUCUCUUCCUCCCUGAGACUGGGAAAUUUACGAAAGAAAGAGGUUAAAUGGACUCCCAGUUUCACGUGGCUGGGGAGGCCUCACAAUCACGGUGGAAGGUGAAAGGCAGGUCUCACACGGUGGCAGACAAG